rnacentral:rRNA from 1 species
GAUGAACGCUGGCGGCGUGCCUAAUACAUGCAAGUCGAGCGAACAGACGAGGAGCUUGCUCCUCUGACGUUAGCGGCGGACGGGUGAGUAACACGUGGAUAACCUACCUAUAAGACUGGGAUAACUUCGGGAAACCGGAGCUAAUACCGGAUAACAUGUUGAACCGCAUGGUUCAACAGUGAAAGACGGUCUUGCUGUCGCUUAUAGAUGGAUCCGCGCCGCAUUAGCUAGUUGGUAAGGUAACGGCUUACCAAGGCAACGAUGCGUAGCCGACCUGAGAGGGUGAUCGGCCACACUGGAACUGAGGCACGGUCCAGACUCCUACGGGAGGCAGCAGUAGGGAAUCUUCCGCAAUGGGCGAAAGCCUGACGGAGCAACGCCGCGUGAGUGAAGAAGGUCUUCGGAUCGUAAAACUCUGUUAUUAGGGAAGAACAAAUGUGUAAGUAACUAUGCACGUCUUGACGGUACCUAAUCAGAAAGCCACGGCUAACUACGUG